rnacentral:rRNA from 1 species
AAACGCUUGAAGUCAGUCGCGUUGUUCAGGAUUCAGCCUUGCUUUUGCUUGGUGUACUUCCUGUUCGACGGGUCAGCAUCAGUUUUGGCCGGUGGAUAAAGGUUCAGGGAAUGUGGCAUCUUCGGAUGUGUUAUAGCCUU